rnacentral:rRNA from 1 species
CUACACUUGACAUCCCUUGCAUUACUCUUAAUCGAGGAAAUCCCUUCGGGGACAAGGUGACAGGUGGUGCAUGGUUGUCGUCAGCUCGUGUCGUGAGAUGUUGGGUUAAGUCCCGCAACGAGCGCAACCCUUGUCGUUAGUUACUACCAUUAAGUUGAGGACUCUAGCGAGACUGCCUGGGUUAACCAGGAGGAAGGUGGGGAUGACGUCAAAUCAUCAUGCCCCUUAUGUGUAGGGCUACACACGUGCUACAAUGGCUGGUACAGAGAGAUGCAAUACCGCGAGGUGGAGCCAAACUUAAAAACCAGUCUCAGUUCGGAUUGUAGGCUGAAACUCGCCUACAUGAAGCUGGAGUUACUAGUAAUCGCGAAUCAGAAUGUCGCGGUGAAUACGUUCCCGGGUCUUGUACACACCGCCCGUCACACCAUGAGAGUUGGCAAUACCCGAAGUCCGUGAGCUAACCGCAAGGAGGCAGCGGCCGAAGGUAGGGUCAGCGAUUGGGGUGAAGUCGUAACAAGGUAGCCGUAGGAGAACCUGCGGCUGGAUCACCUCCUUUCUAAGGA